rnacentral:rRNA from 1 species
AGGCGACGACGGGUAGCCGGCCUGAGAGGGUGACCGGCCACACUGGGACUGAGACACGGCCCAGACUCCUACGGGAGGCAGCAGUGGGGAAUAUUGCACAAUGGGCGCAAGCCUGAUGCAGCGACGCCGCGUGAGGGAUGACGGCCUUCGGGUUGUAAACCUCUUUCMGUAGGGAAGAAGCGAAAGUGACGGUACCUGCAGAAGAAGCGCCGGCUAACUACGUGCCAGCAGCCGCGGUAAUACGUAGGGCGCAAGCGUUAUCCGGAAUUAUUGGGCGUAAAGAGCUCGUAGGCGGUUUGUCGCGUCUGCCGUGAAAGUCCGGGGCUCAACUCCGGAUCUGCGGUGGGUACGGGCAGACUAGAGUGAUGUAGGGGAGACUGGAAUUCCUGGUGUAGCGGUGAAAUGCGCAGAUAUCAKGAGGAACACCGAUGGCGAAGGCAGGUCUCUGGGCAUUAACUGACGCUGAGGAGCGAAAGCAUGGGGAGCGAACAGGAUUAGAUACCCUGGUAGUCCAUGCCGUAAACGUUGGGCACUAGGUGUGGGGGACAUUCCACGUUUUCCGCGCCGUAGCUAACGCAUUAAGUGCCCCGCCUGGGGAGUACGGAA